rnacentral:tmRNA from 3 species
GGGGCUGAUUCUGGAUUCGACGGGAUUUGCGAAACCCAAGGUGCAUGCCGAGGGGCGGUUGGCCUCGUAAAAAGCCGCAAAAAAAUAGUCGCAAACGACGAAAACUACGCUUUAGCAGCUUAAUAACCUGCAUAGAGCCCUCUCUCCCUAGCCUCCGCUCUUAGGACGGGGAUCAAGAGAGGUCAAACCCAAAAGAGAUCGCGCGGAUGCCCUGCCUGGGGUUGAAGCGUUAAAACGAAUCAGGCUAGUCUGGUAGUGGCGUGUCCGUCCGCAGGUGCCAGGCGAAUGUAAAGACUGACUAAGCAUGUAGUACCGAGGAUGUAGGAAUUUCGGACGCGGGUUCAACUCCCGCCAGCUCCACCA